CCUACGGGUGACCGCAGUGAGGAAUAUUGGUCAAUGGGAGAGAUCCUGAACCAGCCAAGCCGCGUGAGUGAAGACGGCCCUAUGGGUUGUCAACCUCUUUUGUCGGAGCACAACACCCGGGACGUGUCCCGGACUGCGUGUAUCCGAAGAAACAGCAUCGGCGAACUCCGUGCCAGCAGCCGCGGUACUACGGAGGAUGCGAGCGUUAUCCGGAUUUAUUGGGUUUACAGGGUGCGGAGGCGGUCCGUUAAGUCAGCGGUAACAUUGCGGGGCUCAACCCCGUCGAGCCGUUGAAACUGGCAGACUUGAGUUGGUGAGAAGUACGCGGAAUGCGCGGUGUAGCGGUGAAAUGCAUAGAUAUCGCGCAGAACUCCGAUUGCGAAGGCAGCGUACCGGCGCCAGACUGACGCUGAGGCACGAAAGCGUGGGGAUCGAACAGGAGUAGAUACCCCAGUAGUC
rnacentral:rRNA from 1 species